UACGUAGGGGGCGAGCGUUUGUCCGGAUUUAUUGGGCGUAAAGCGCAUGCAGGCGGUCCUGUAAGUUUGGAGUGACAGUUUCCGGCUCAACCGGGAAAGUGCUUUGAAAACUGCGGGACUUGAGGGCUUCAGAGGGACACGGAAUUCCGGGUGGAGUGGUGAAAUGCGUAGAUAUCCGGAGGAACACCGAAGGCGAAGGCAGUGUCCUGGGGAGCACCUGACGCUCAGAUGCGAAAGCCAGGGGAGCGAACGGG
rnacentral:rRNA from 1 species